UUCGGGGCGGAAGUCAACGGUCCCGUGCAAGCGGGUGAGAAAGGGAAUGCCGUAAGCCCUGGCUGGGUUUUUGAAAACCCGGGGGUGUAGUCGGCAACUAUGCCCGCAACUGUAGGCGGAGAGUGCGUCAUCCAUUGCAGCAGGCGCACCAUGACCCGCAAGUCAGGAGACCUGCCGUUGUUAUUUGCGAUAU
rnacentral:ncRNA from 2 species